rnacentral:lncRNA from 1 species
UGUGGAUCCCUGGCUCACUAUCCAAUACCCUGUGCUCCAUUUAAUGAAUGCUAAUUUAACAAAGUCAUAACAAUAGGGUUUAUGUAUAAUAAUAGGGGAUUACAGCUAAAAGAACUGCAAGCCUCAGAUCUGAUUUAAGAAGUCUCUAGGGAAAUUAAAAGACAAAAGGGAAGGCAAAAACAAGGACACUAGAGGAAAUUUUAGCCACUAACACCACAGCUACAGCAACAGUAAACACAACCAAACUCUUACUCAGAUAACAUACAGCCUCACACUAAAGACCUAUUUAUCUCAGUUCCUUUUAUCCUAUGCAUCACUUCUCACAUUCAAACAAAAAUUACAAAAUAUGCUAACGGUCAAAAACCAUAGUUUGCAGAGACAGAGCAGGCAUCAGUACCAGACUCAAGUAUGACAGAGAUUUUGGAAUUAUCUGACCGGAAAUUUAAAGUAAAUACAAUUGAUAUGCUAAUAAUUAAAUGGGAAAAAAUGCACAACAGAGAGGUAAUAUAAAUAGAAAGAUGAAAGCUUUAGAAAGAAUCAAAAGAAAAUCAAAAACACUAUAAUAGAAACGAAAAGUUCCUUUAAUGGGCUCAUCAGUAGAUUGGAUACAGCUGAGGAAAAAUCAGUACGCUAGAAGAUACAUCAGUAGAAAUUUUGCAAAUUUUGCAAACUGACACAGAUCUACCACGUUAACCUAAUCAAAACAAAGCUGGAGUAACUAUAUGAGUUUCAGACAAAACAGAUUUCAGAAAAAGGAAAAUUAUUAGGGAUAAAAAGAAGCAUCUCAUAACGAUCAAGGAAUUAAUUCUCCAAGGAUAAUGUAACAAUCCUUAAUGAGUAUUCCUUAAUGAAAGAGCAUCAAAAUGAGGCAAAAAAAAAAAUGCUAGAAAUACAAGAAGAAAUAGAAGAAUCCACUAUUGUAAUUGGAGACUUCAAUACACCUCUAUCAGUAAUUGACAGAUCCAGCAGACAAAAAAUCGGUAAGGAUAUAGUUGAACUGAAUAACA